CACGUAGGGCGCAAGCGUUGUCCGGAAUUAUUGGGCGUAAAGAGCUCGUAGGCGGUCUGUUGCGUCCGCUGUGAAAACUCGGGGCUUAACCCCGAGCCUGCAGUGGAUACGGGCAGACUAGAGGUAGGUAGGGGAGAAUGGAAUUCCCGGUGUAGCGGUGAAAUGCGCAGAUAUCAGGAAGAACACCCGUGGCUAAGGCGGCUCUCUAGUACGGUACUGACGCUGAGACGCGAAAGCGUGGGGAGGCGAACAGG
rnacentral:rRNA from 1 species